AUGUAGUGUUCCCAGGUGGUACCAAGGCCCAUACCAUCCCAAGUACUGACUGCUCCCGAUGUUGCUUAACUGCGGUGAUCAGACGAGAACCGGUGCUUUCAGCAUAGUAUGGCCGU